GAUGAACGCUGACAGAAUGCUUAACACAUGCAAGUCGACUCGAGUCUUCGGACUUGGGUGGCGGACGGGUGAGUAACGCGUAAAGAACUUGCCUCAUAGUCUGGGACAACAUUUGGAAACGGAUGCUAAUACCGGAUAUUAUGCUUUCUUCGCAUGGAGGAGGUAUGAAAGCUAUAUGCGCUAUGAGAGAGCUUUGCGUCCCAUUAGCUAGUUGGUGAGGUAACGGCCCACCAAGGCGAUGAUGGGUAGCCGGCCUGAGAGGGCGAACGGCCACAAGGGGACUGAGACACGGCCCUUACUCCUACGGGAGGCAGCAGUGGGGAAUAUUGGACAAUGGACCAAAAGUCUGAUCCAGCAAUUCUGUGUGCACGAUGACGUUUUUCGGAAUGUAAAGUGCUUUCAGUCGGGAAGAAGCAAGUGACGGUACCGACAGAAGAAGCGACGGCUAAAUACGUGCCAGCAGCCGCGGUAAUACGUAUGUCGCAAGCGUUAUCCGGAUUUAUUGGGCGUAAAGCGCGUCUAGGCGGCAAGGAAAGUCUGAUGUGAAAAUGCGGGGCUCAACUCCGUAUUGCGUUGGAAACUGCCUUACUAGAGUACUGGAGAGGUAGGCGGAACUACAAGUGUAGAGGUGAAAUUCGUAGAUAUUUGUAGGAAUGCCGAUGGGGAAGCCAGCCUACUGGACAGAUACUGACGCUAAAGCGCGAAAGCGUGGGUAGCAAACAGG
rnacentral:rRNA from 1 species